rnacentral:rRNA from 1 species
CAGUAGCCGCGGGAAUACGUAGGUGGCAAGCGUUGUCCGGAAUUAUUGGGCGUAAGGCGCGCGCAGGCGGAUCAGUUAGUCUGUCUUAAAAGUUCGGGGCUUAACCCCGUGAGGGGAUGGAAACUGCUGAUCUAGAGUAUCGGAGAGGAAAGUGGAAUUCCUAGUGUAGCGGUGAAAUGCGUAGAUAUUAGGAAGAACACCAGUGGCGAAGGCGACUUUCUGGACGAAAACUGACGCUGAGGCGCGAAAGCCAGGGGAGCGAACGGGAUUAGAUACCCCCGUAGUCCCUGUCUCUUAUACA